CGCCUAGGCGUACAGCUGGGGGCUCGGUCGGUUUCAGAAGCGGCGAAUCAAACAGCUCGGUCCGUCUCGUCCUGCUUACCUAGCCACACCCCCGCGCCCCGCCCCCAAAGCCCGCACACCUCGGCUCCCCUGCGGGAACCAGUUACUGGUCUCCCUUGGUUUGGUGUGCCCGUGCUCGAAUUAGUCGCGGAUUCGUGCUCUGGAGUCCCAAUCCCCCGCCCGACCAAGUAGGGCCGUGGGGUGGGCUCUGGAAUGGACGAAGCUGCAGAUUCCUCCGCGCUGCUUCGUCGGGUCGAGGAGCUACAGCUCGAAAAAGAUGAAAAACAGAAUGCUUUGGAAGUAUUAAUACGUCGUGUUGAAGGGCUACAAUAUGAAAUGGAUGAAAAAGUGGAUCUUGUUGAAGUGUUAACUCAUCGAGUUGAAGAACUCCAGCGAGAACGUGAUGAGCUCAGAAAAGAUAUUGAGCAAUUAUGUAUGCAACAAGCUGGGCCUGGUUAUGUUUCCGUUGCAACUCGAAUGCUUUCUCAGAGGACAGCCACUUUGGAACAAGAUGUUGAGAACCUCCAGAAGAAGUUAAAUGGUUGCUUAAGAGAGAAUCAAAAUUUACAAGAGGAGCUUGCUGAAGCCUAUCGAGUUAAGAGCCAGCUUGCUGAGUUACAUGGUGCUGAGCUAUCAAAGAACAAGGAUCUUGAAAAGCAAGUAAGGUUUUUCCAGUGCAGUGUUGCUCAAGCGUUUUCUGAACGGGACAGUUCAUUAAUGGAGUGUGAGAAAGCGAAAGAGCAGGAGGAAGCAGUUUUGAAAAAGUUUGCUGACUUUGAGGAAAGGACGAGAGAAUAUCAAUCUGCAAUUGAUGAUCAGAAACACUUAAAUGAUGACUUGCAGAGGAAAUUGACAGAACUGAAGGCAGAGACAGAAUCUUCAAUGAAAGUUAUUUUAAAAUUCUAUGACCUUCGUUGCAGAGACUGUGAAUGUCCUUCAAACAUUACUUUUGAAGAGAAGUGUUCGAUCCUUCUAGAUGAUUCUGCUGAUAAUUGGAGUUUUAGCUCUGAUGGUGGAACCUCAACUUUGAAGUACAUUGCAUCUCUAGAAGAGGAGAAAGAGUCACUUAAAGCUAAAAUGGCGAAGCUUCAAAGCAAUCUAAGGAUGGGCCUUGAAAUUGAACAGCAUUUGCAAAGAAAUGCAAGAAUAUUAGAGAAAAGACAGGCGCUGUAUGAUGGAUUUCUGAGAAGUGGAUUGUCAGAACUUCAAAAGUUCUACAAAUAUCAAAGGGCUGAAAUCAUGAAAACAUUAGAAGAAGAAUCCUCACGGCUGAUCAAACUUGUUGCAGAAAUUCAAGAUAAGCUAAGUGAAAUUUGCAUCAACACUGAAGUUAGUGAACACCCUGGUGACGUAAUGCAAUGUUGUGACAGCAGUUGUAAAGAUGUGCAUGUUACUACAGAUAUCAGUCCUAGCACUUUCACAAGCCCUAAGUUGCAUAUGAUGCAGAAUGAUUCUCCUGCCGAUUCUAAUUCCAUAUCAUUUGAUGAAUCUAAAGCACUUGCACAAGCCUUACAGGAGAAGAUGGAAGCGCUUAUGCUAUUCUCACAGGAACAAGAAAGAUACCUAUUAGAAAAACAGAAAGACCAAAUUGUCAUUGAGGAUCUUCAGAAGAAGUUAUCUCAAGUUAAAGAUGAAAAGGUGAAGGUCCUGAUGGAAUUAGCAAAACUUAAAGAAGAAUAUCUGCAGUUGAAGGGUUUAAUGUCUGGUAGAGGCGAGGCACAUAUGUUGGCAUCAGAAGCUAACAUCAGCUCUGCUGUGAAGGAAGGUCAUGGUCCUGGUGAUUCAUCAAAAGCCAUUACUGGGCAUGACCAACAAGGGAUGUUGAAAACUAUGCUGAAGAGGACGUCCUUAAGACACUGGAUGAGAAGCAGUAAUGUUGGGCAUGGGAGCUCUGAUGGAAAUGAUCAUAUAGUUUGCAAAGAGCACUCAGUGGAUAUUGCAAGACCAUAGAGGGACUUGUUGAGCCUGCAGACCAUGUCCGGACGACUGGAGUCCACAAAUCCCGCCGGCUGAGAGCAAGACUGCAUCUGACAAAGUGCCAUGAAGAAAGGCAUUCUUCACAUCCAAGCUGGUGCACAGGCCAAGAGCGUGAGAGCGCGAGCGAGAGGACCGUGCGCACAGUAGCAGGCUUCACCACUGGACUGAAGGUCUCAUCAUAGUCCACACUAGGCCGCUGGGUGAACCCCCGGAGAACCCAGCGAGCCUUGUAGCGCUCCAGUGUGCCGUCAGCCCGACGCUUAUGCGUCCAGAUCCACUUGCCAGCCACCACAUUGCAACCAGAUGGACGCGGCACAAGGUCCCACGUCUGGUUGGCGAGAAGAGCCGUGUACUCCUCUUCCAUCGCGCGACGCCAGUGAGGAUCCGCCAAGGCGUCGCGGACAGAGGAGGGCACCGGAGAGACCCGCGGCUCUCCCUCGGUGGCGGAGAGAGUCGCGGCCUGAGACGCCAUCCGCCGAGUCACCAUGGGAUGGAUAUGCCGAGGAUCCCGAUGGACGACUGGCGGGUGGUACACCUCCGGCUCGGCUCGGCUCGAGAGCGAGUCGGCGGAGGCGGCUCCGGUGUAGAUGGCGGUGGCGACGACUCCGGUGUAGGCGUCGGAGGAGCGUCCGGAGCCAGAGUCGGCGCCGGUGUCGGCGCCGAACGACGCCGGUACACCUGCACCGGCUGAGCGUACCGCGGCGGCGCCGGAGUCGGCGCCGGACGACGCUGGUACACCUGCACCGGCUGAGCGUACUGCGCAGGUGCAGGGGGAGGCACCGGGGCCGCGCGUGGCGCAGCAGGAGACACCGGGUCCGCGCGCCGCACGACCGGAGGUCCGCGCGUGGCGCGACCGCGGGCACCGGGGCCGCGCGUGGCGCAACAGGGAUCACCGGAAGCGGUGCCGGUGUGCCGGGAAAACCUGCAGGGAAAGGAAAGACAGAUUAAGAGUUGAAAAUGCCACACUUCUUGAAGGUGUUGGUACUGUGGAACGCCUCACUUCUUCAGUGCAUAGACUGCAUAUUGUGCUUUU